ensembl:lncRNA
AUGCUUCCGUGCAGCGGCGUUUCGAGGAUCAAAUUGAAGAGGGAUUCGUUUAAGCUCAAUAACAAAUUAGAGCCGAACAAACGCAGAUGGACUGGACCUAAAACUGUGUCUGGUUUAAAUCCACUUGCCGAUCGUGGCAUACAGGUUCAAGACCAAGCCAGUUCUCCAGCAGGUGUCGUUUACUCAGAACUGAACGCCAACGAUAUCUGCGCCACAGCCGACCGCGAACCACCGUCCCAGUUUGACGGGCAAGCGAGCUCCAAACAAGACCCUCAUGCGGAACAUGACUGCUGCGGAGGGGGUUAUAAUCCAGGUACUUUCCCAUCCACAGUCAGUGGUUUUAGUAACUGUCAAGGCGGAGGAACUAAAGCUCAGAGUACCUGUACUAGCAGUCAGCCCCCGUGCAAAAAGAUGCCGAGACGGUUGUCCGAACAUAGAAAAGAGUUUUUCUACCGUUUGCGUUUAGCUUUGUGCUUAAAACGUCGAAAUGGCGGGAAGCGUGUGAUAAACGGGCCGACAGAAAUGCAGUGCCACGCUCUGUCGUAUAUAAACAGUAACGUGUCGGUAGAGUCAGAUAAUAUUUCUAUUAAAUCCACGGUCUGUGGGGAAUCAGUGGAACAAUCUCCACCUGCCCAACUAGAGCCAAAGUACGACCAAAACACUGGCGGCACAGAUUAUUUGGGGCAAGAAAAGCCUCGUGCCGGGAGGGGAAGACCGAGGAAACUGUUUAAAGGUCAUUUUGGUGGCCCUGAUGGACGGGUGAAAACUACCAUCAAGACGGACGCUCGGCGAGCCCAUGCAAGUCAAGCCAGGCGCGCCUCUUCUGGACAAAAAACAAAUAUCAGUUCAAAACUUGAGCUGAGACGACAGCUUAGGUCAGACACAAGGAAAAACCGCAAACGAUUGGUGAAACAUUCGUGCUGUGCUUUGUGUGGUGAUGUAAAAUACAUUCCUCCCCCUAGUAAGAAUCUGGCCCCUUUACUCAGUCACAGAUCUAGAGCUGGCCAGCCCAGCCAGUCUGUGUGCCAGAAAGAUGCUGGUCAUAUCUCAGAGUCCCCAACCGCGAUGAAUUUCCGCUUCGAGAAAUACCCCAUGGUGAAUCUGUGCAAUGUAGCCAGAGUGUUUGACAUAGCCUCUCGUGAUUUCUCAUGUGUCUUACCAGCCGUACUAAGACAAAAGAGGAAGUGCAAAAGAGUGCAGUGCUUGAGGAAAGAAUUUGAUUUUCUUGUGCAUCCUCAUCUCCACGGCAUCAAGGAGUGUAGAAGUAAGAUUGCCAACCAGUCCUGGGAAGUUUCCACACCAACCCAUAGCUGUGCUUCUUUUUCAUCAGGUGAUCCACUAUCUGGAGCUACGGGCAGCACGUAUGUUUUAGACACAGCUGAGACUCCUGAUGGAUCUACCAAGGAACGGGAUACUUGUCUUGCAAGGAAUCUAGACUGCGAGAGUAUGAGACAGACCGACGUCGAAGGAACUGACUCGGUACUCCCAGGGUGUGAUGACAGUGGUCCUGUUUUGCAUUUCUGUGAGAAAGACAAGGCCUGUCCAAUGAACAACAUCUCUCAAAGUCCUACCAGCCCAGCGCGUCGUGUACCACCGCUAAUACUCAGACGGGUUGCUGUCAGUGGUUUUGGUUUCAGAGGUGGUGAUGAUGAUGGGGAGAACAGUGGUCAUUCACUGGAUGAAGAGAAAGAGGGAGACAGUAGUAAUGAGGAUUCUGACAGUGAAGUGAACUCGCCUGAGAGUUUCUCCUGCCAGCGAGUGCAAGCCUACAUAUUUUUCCCUCAAUCAUCAUGCGCUCGCACAUACAAAGCCUGGCCCUUCCCUAGAACGGGCCCUCCUAACGACCCCAGGUCACCGCUGCGCACUGGACCCCGCUGGAUUGUAACCACUUCAUUUCCUGCUAUCGUUCAAACUCCUCUCAGUGGAGCACCUGAAUGCUUAUCAGAUAAAGACAUUCAAAACGAAAUGUACAAACCCACAAAGCAAAGCAAAAGCAGCGAUGACACAAGAGAGGUACUGGAGGGGCAACCACUUUGUUCAUUUGUGCCAGGGGAGAACACAUUAGCAGUGUUGGAAAGGACUCAGAAAGAUCCAGCACAAAGUCUUAAUCCAAGUCGUACAAUGACACAGGAUAGUUUUAUUUCGAGACUUGCAGACCACAACAGUUGCAGAUUAGAAAGUAGAGACAUGCUGGAGCAGCAUCCUUCUGCAUCUGGUGAAAAACACCCCACUUGCACACCUGAAAGGACUCCAAGGGGUCUAGUGCACAGUCCAAAAGUAAUAUUAACUCAUGUUUCCAAACCUGCAGAGCCUGAGUCAAACCGAAGUCUGAAGAAAGGUUUGGAGGAUGUUCUUGAGUCUUCUGUACCUGUAGUGACUGAACAGGUUAACAUCUGCAAAUUUAAUGGUCUUGGCUAUGCAACAGCAUUAGAGGAGUGCGGUCUUUUAAAUAAUCAUUGCCUGCUCAAGAAGUCAGAUCAGAAAGCGUUCUCAAGUGGGUCUGAAAUUCAAGCUGAUUUCAUAAGGGAUGAAGAUCAAAAAUUGUCCAAAGAUGUUUCGGAUCUUGAGAUCAGUACCUGUCCUGUUAGCCAAACCUCAAGAGUUCAAACAAUUGAGGAUCAAGAGUGGAAUGAAAAUAGUGAUGGACGAACUCUCUAUAACCCUGGGUCGCUUUCGGAAAUAUGUCUUAAAGUAGAAAUGCUAAAAGCACGGCAUCCUCCUUUAGUGACGACAACGUCCGAAAUGGACCAGGAUGCUGAUGCCACACUGCAUACAGCCGGCAGCAAUCCUGACUGUUCAGGAGAAGAGAAGCAAAAGCAAGGAUUCGACAGCUGUACAGUUGCAGACUCCUCUUCUGAAGAUGAAAACGAACAUGUUACUAGUCUGUCAUCAGAUGACUCUGUGGAACAAGAUGCUGCUGUGAGCUCACAGUCUGAUGGCGAUGGGACAAGUCAGAUGAAUGAUGAAGAACAAGGCUACAUCCCUCCACAAUUUCCAGCGGUUGCCGAUUGCUUCCUGGAUGUUUCUCGAGCAUAUGAAGAAGACAUCCUUGUACUGGACGUGAUACAAGAUGAUCCCGAGUUAUUUGGGGCUGUUGUCUCUGAAACUGUGAGUGAACAGGACACAUCAGCAGAGGAGAAUGGAAAGACACCGCCGAAGAUAGAGAAACUACUAGCAGGGAACCAUUGCAAGAUUGUCUGGGACCUAAAUGCAGAUGGGUAAGUCAUUUAAUAUUUAAUAAUUGUACAUAAUGAUAGGUCUUUUUAAAUGCCCGAAGAAGGCUGUAUGACUGAAAGAUUGCUGUUUGCAUGAAUGGAUUUUUUUUUUUUUUGCAUUUGUUCUGUUUGUUCUAUUUGCCUUCAUGUAAUUUUUUUUUUUUUUUUUUUUUUUUUUUUUUUAAAGCUCCAGUGAAUCUUGCCCAACUGCUGCAGACAUCAAGAUUGAUGGUAUGAAAGAUGUCGGUUCUUUGACAGGUCUGAAUGAAAUAUUUUAAACCAUGUUAAUUUGAUUUUUGUUUCUGUCCUAAUGCUGAUUUAUGAGUAGUGGUCGACCGAUAUUGAUUUUUUUUUGACUGCCGAUAUCUUGGAAAGCAGGAGUGGCCAAUAGCAUGCAUAUAUAUAUAUAUAUAUAUAUAUAUAUAUAUACAUAUACAUACGCGGGCAAAUGUAUGAAGCGCAGCAUAAUUUUAAAUUACAAGUUUAAAGUUUAAAGCAUUCAAUUCACACGGACCGACCAUCACACAGAGAACACGCGAUCAUGCUGGAUAAAAAUGCACACUUCCCAAGAUCUCACAGCUGGAUUCGACUAAGUUUGAAUGUUCAUUAGUCAUUCAAAGAUUUGUUUAAAUUAUGUAAAUGCAUAUUUGCUUAAUGCUGAUGGCAAACGAGAAAGUAUUAUAAUGUUUGCCUUUGUAUUACUAAUAAUAUAAAAGCAAUCGUUAUAAUACUUUCAGUAUACAUUAAUUACUUUGUUUAUCUGUUCUAUCAGAUUAUUAGACAGACUUCUAUCUGUAUUAGACAGAACUGUUAAUGACGACAGAGAACAAGAGAACAGAAUGUGAGCACUGUGUGCUCAGCCGUCAAAAUAAAAGUCCUGCCUUGAACA